CUACCAUAGGGAUUGCCCCAGUAGCGGCGAGUGAAGCGGCAAGAGCUCAGAUUUGAAAUCGUGUUUCGGCACGAGUUGUAGAGUGUAGGCGGGAGUCUCUGUGGAGCGCGGUGUCCAAGUCCCUUGGAACAGGGUGCCUGAGAGGGUGAGAGCCCCGUAGGGUGCUGCGCGAAGCUUUUGAGGCCCUGCUGACGAGUCGAGUUGUUUGGGAAUGCAGCUCCAAGCGGGUGGUAAAUUCCAUCUAAGGCUAAAUAUUGGCGAGAGACCGAUAGCGAACAAGUACUGUGAAGGAAAGAUGAAAAGCACUUUGAAAAGAGAGUGAAACAGCACGUGAAAUUGUUGAAAGGGAAGGGUAUUGGGCUCGACAUGGGGGGUGCGCACCGCUGUCUCUUGUAGGCGGCGCUCUGGGCGCCCUCUGGGCCAGCAUCGGUUCCUGCUGCGGGAGAAGGGGCUCCGGAAAGUGGCUCUUCGGAGUGUUAUAGCCGGGGCCAGAUGCCGCGUGUGGGGACCGAGGACUGCGGCUUCUGUCUCGGAUGCUGGCAUAACGGCGCAAUACCGCCCGUCUGG
rnacentral:rRNA from 1 species